rnacentral:rRNA from 1 species
GUCUACGGCCAUACUACCCUGAACAUGUCCAAACUCAUCUGAUACUGGAAACUAAGUGGGGUCAGGCCUGGUUAGUACUUGGAUGGGAGAAAGUAGCAAGCAGGGAGGAGGAGCAA